GAUGAACGCUGGCGGCGUGCUUAACACAUGCAAGUCGAACGGAAAGGCCAGUGCUUGCACUGGUACUCGAGUGGCGAACGGGUGAGUAACACGUGGGUGAUCUGCCCUGCACUUCGGGAUAAGCCUGGGAAACUGGGUCUAAUACCGGAUAGGACAAUGGUUUGGAUGCCGUUGUGGAAAGUUUUUUCGGUGUGGGAUGAGCUCGCGGCCUAUCAGCUUGUUGGUGGGGUAAUGGCCUACCAAGGCGUCGACGGGUAGCCGGCCUGAGAGGGUGUACGGCCACAUUGGGACUGAGAUACGGCCCAGACUCCUACGGGAGGCAGCAGUGGGGAAUAUUGCACAAUGGGCGCAAGCCUGAUGCAGCGACGCCGCGUGGGGGAUGGCGGCCUUCGGGUUGUAAACUCCUUUCGCUAGGGACGAAGCGUAUUUGUGACGGUACCUGGAGAAGAAGCACCGGCUAACUACGUG
rnacentral:rRNA from 1 species